rnacentral:rRNA from 1 species
GACGAACGCUGGCGGCGUGCUUAGCACAUGCAAGUCGAACGGAAAGGCCCUGCUUUUGUGGGGUGCUCGAGUGGCGAACGGGUGAGUAACACGUGAGUAACCUGCCCUUGACUUUGGGAUAACUUCAGGAAACUGGGGCUAAUACCGGAUAGGAGCUCCUGCUGCAUGGUGGUGGUUGGAAAGUUUCGGCGGUUGGGGAUGUACUCGCGGCUUAUCAGCUUGUUGGUGGGGUAGUGGCUUACCAAGGCUUUGACGGGUAGCCGGCCUGAGAGGGUGACCGGCCACAUUGGGACUGAGAUACGGCCCAGACUCAUACGGGAGGCAGCGGUGGGGAAUAUUGCACAAUGGGCGGAAGCCUGAUGCAGCAACGCCGCGUGCGGGAUGACGGCCUUCGGGUUGUAAACCGCUUUCGCCUGUGACGAAGCGUGAGUGACGGUAAUGGGUAAAGAAGCACCGGCUAACUACGUG